GAUGAACGCUGGCGGCGUGCUUAACACAUGCAAGUCGAACGAUGAAGCCCAGCUUGCUGGGUGGAUUAGUGGCGAACGGGUGAGUAACACGUGAGUAACCUGCCCUUAACUCUGGGAUAAGCCUGGGAAACUGGGUCUAAUACCGGAUAGGAGCGUCCACCGCAUGGUGGGUGUUGGAAAGAUUUAUCGGUUUUGGAUGGACUCGCGGCCUAUCAGCUUGUUGGUGAGGUAAUGGCUCACCAAGGGGACGACGGGUCGACGGCCUGAGAGGGUGACCGGCCACACUGGGACUGAGACACGGCCCAGACUCCUACGGGAGGCAGCAGUGGGGAAUAUUGCACAAUGGGCGCAAGCCUGAUGCAGCGGCGCCGCGUGAGGGAUGACGGCCUUCGGGUUGUAAACCUCUUUCAGUAGGGAAGAAGCGAAAGUGACGGUACCUGCAGAAGAAGCACCGGCUAACUACGUG
rnacentral:rRNA from 1 species